rnacentral:rRNA from 1 species
UACGGAGGGCGCGAGCGUUGUUCGGAAUCAUUGGGCGUAAAGCGCGUGUAGGCGGCUUGGUAAGUCGAGUGUGAAAGCCCGGGGCUCAACCCCGGAAGGUCGCUCGAAACUGCCUGGCUAGAGUCCCGGAGAGGAAGGCGGAAUUCCCGGUGUAGAGGUGAAAUUCGUAGAUAUCGGGAGGAACACCAGCGGCGAAGGCGGCCUUCUGGACGGUGACUGACGCUGAGACGCGAAAGCGUGGGGAGCAAACAGG